AAUAUGAAACCCGACAGAACUUGAGAGCACCCAAACCUUAAGGAUUAAUUUGAUAGAAGCUCUAAGUUGUGUCGGCCGCGAUAUAGAGGUAAUAAAAUCCGAUAAGGAUAUCGUGAUAAGGCUAAACCACACCCAGGUAACUAUAGGGGUAUCUUGGGUUGCGAAGGAGCAGUGCUGCUGGCGUAGUGUUUGUGCCUUUUGCAAAUAAGUAUGUAUUGUAAUAUUUAUGUUUUACAAUUACCGGCCGGAUCUAUUGAUAUCGUCUGGAUGUAUUUCAAAGUAUUACAUGAAUAAUAAAGGAUUGUGAAAUUGUUUUGGUUUCCAUAUGAUAUUAGUCCUAGUCCGGGACGAACUAACUAACGGUUUCAAACUCGGGUUGCAAAGCCUUAACUUGGAACCGCUAGGAAUCCUGUUCUUGGGCAUUUAACCUUCGGGAUUUCGGAUAUGAUAUGGGAACCUUAGGUCGAAUGUUUGGGAACAUGUAGUUGCAUCUUCGAUCUGGUUAAAGUUAUUUAGU